rnacentral:rRNA from 1 species
GCUAAAUGCGGAAGAGAUAAGUGCUGAAAGCAUCUAAGCACGAAACUUGCCCCGAGAUGAGUUCUCCCUGACCCUUUAAGGGUCCUGAAGGAACGUUGAAGACGACGACGUUGAUAGGCCGGGUGUGUAAGCGCAGCGAUGCGUUGAGCUAACCGGUACUAAUGAACCGUGAGGCUUAACCUUACAACGCCGAAGGUGUUU